UAUUGUACUAUAUCAGCACCAUAGACAGCAGGCGUCAGAAAUGACUUAAACAUCCUGCCGAGGGAAAAAUUUUACACUUUUUAAUAAAUGUA
rfam:Candidatus Magasanikbacteria bacterium RIFOXYD12_FTLL_33_17 rifoxyd3_full_scaffold_669, whole genome shotgun sequence.